GUGGGGAAUCUUGCGCAAUGGGCGAAAGCCUGACGCAGCCAUGCCGCGUGGAUGAUGAAGGUCUUAGGAUUGUAAAAUCCUUUCACCGGUGAAGAUAAUGACUGUAGCCGGAGAAGAAGCCCCGGCUAACUUCGUGCCAGCAGCCGCGGUAAUACGAAGGGGGCUAGCGUUGCUCGGAUUUACUGGGCGUAAAGGGCGCGUAGGCGGACAUUUAAGUCAGGGGUGAAAUCCCGGGGCUCAACCGCGGAACUGCCUUUGAUACUGGAUGUCUUGAGUGUGAGAGAGGUGUGUGGAACUCCGAGUGUAGAGGUGAAAUUCGUAGAUAUUCGGAAGAACACCAGUGGCGAAGGCGACUCACUGGCCCAAUACUGACGCUGAGGCGCGAAAGCGUGGGGAGCAAACAGGAUUAGAAACCCGGGUAGUCC
rnacentral:rRNA from 1 species